CGGACGGGUGAGUAACACGUGGAUAACCUACCUAUAAGACUGGGAUGACUUCGGGAAACCGGAGCUAAUACCGGAUAAUAUAUUGAACCGCAUGGUUCAAUAGUGAAAGACGGUUUUGCUGUCACUUAUAGAUGGAUCCGCGCCGCAUUAGCUAGUUGGUAAGGUAACGGCUUACCAAGGCAACGAUGCGUAGCCGACCUGAGAGGGUGAUCGGCCACACUGGAACUGAGACACGGUCCAG
rnacentral:rRNA from 1 species